UGGGACAUAGCCAAGUGGUCAGGCAUCGGUUUUUGGUAUUGACACUUGAAGGUUCGAGUCCUUCCAUCUCAG
rnacentral:tRNA from 1 species